rnacentral:rRNA from 2 species
UUGACCUCAAAUCGGGUGAGACUACCCGCUGAACUUAAGCAUAUCAAUAAGCGGAGGAAAAGAAACUAACAAGGAUUCCCCUAGUAACUGCGAGUGAAGCGGGAAAAGCUCAAAUUUAAAAUCUGGUGGUUUUUGGCCAUCCGAGUUGUAAUUUAGAGAAGCGUCUUCCGCGCUGGACCGUGCACAAGUCUCCUGGAAUGGAGCGUCAUAGAGGGUGAGAAUCCCGUCUUUGGCAUGGACACACCAGGGCUUUUGUGAUGCGCUCUCGAAGAGUCGAGUUGUUUGGGAAUGCAGCUCAAAAUGGGUGGUGAACUCCAUCUAA